rnacentral:rRNA from 1 species
GACAGAGGGUGCAAACGUUGUUCGGAAUUACUGGGCGUAAAGCGCGUGUAGGCGGCUCGGAAAGUCGGAUGUGAAAGCCCUGGGCUUAACCUAGGAAGUGCAUUCGAAACUCCCGAGCUUGAGUUCUGGAGAGGAAGGCGGAAUUCUCGGUGUAGAGGUGAAAUUCGUAGAUAUCGAGAGGAACACCGGUGGCGAAGGCGGCCUUCUG